rnacentral:lncRNA from 1 species
GGAGGGCGGGCGCUGGGCGGCCGGAGGGGUGGCUGGUGGUCGGAGCGGGGAGGCGUCCCCUCCAGCCCGGGGGCCCUUUCGGGGGCGCGCCCGCCCCGCCCUCCAGGCGGGACUCGUUGGGUCCCUCUGGCGCCCCGUGGGUCCCUUUCCCAGAGCUGCACCCGCCCUCUCUCGGCUCCUGGGCGCCACGGAUAGGAGGGCAAGUCACGCGAGGACCAGCCGCGUGCGGAUCGAGGCGGAGGAGUCCGGGGCCCUGCACACGCUCCUGCCGAGGCUCUGUCGUUGGCGGGGCGCUCUCGGGGCCGCUCUCCCGGCUUCGACACUGCUGCGGGGCAGACCGUGCCCACAGACGGCUUGGGUGCAUGUUUGCCCCUGGAUCUCAGACCAGCUAGAAAUCAGUCUCUCCCUAAGACCCAGGCUUCUGAGGGCGAGCGAGGUUUCCAGGGACGGUGCAUACCCAAAACUUCGUGUUAGGAGAGGCCUGGGCCAGAGUGUGAAGGCGCUGCAGUGAAGUCGCACAGCAGAUGGCUUGUAUCAUCCUCAGUUCUGGCUCCCGCCUGAUGCUGAAGACAGCCUCCUCCCAGAAGCCACUUCCAGUCGAGCCUUCGGAGAGUGACGCUGGCCUGAAUCCAAACCAGACCCAUCAUCGAGAAGAAAGCAGGCUCUAGGUCUCGUCCAGGCCGCUUGGAAUGUUCGCAGCUAGAAGGCCGCCCUCUUGGUUGAGACAGCCUGUCAGGACACGGAGUUUCUGUCCCAGAACUUCGGUUACAAGCUCAGAAAAACGAAGAGUCUUGUCCAGAGCACAACCUCUGAAGAAGCGGAGCAACGCGGAAAUUCCCACGGCCGGGGGAUUGUGCUGCUGGCUCGUCUCCUGGCUCAUGCCGGCUUCCAGUGCUCCUUCCUCUCCCCUGGGAAUGAGAAGGAUAGAAAGGCCCGCUGGCAGAAAAGAGAUCAGACCCCGGAGGGAGAGGAGGUGCUCGGAAGGACUCCCCCAAAGAAGAGGACGUGUCUGCGGAAAAACCAACCAGAGAUGCGCUUUGACCAAAACGCACAGGAAGGAGCCCAGCCUGAGCCCUGAGGGUGAGACACGUGCCUGAGGCCUCUGGUGCUUCAUGGAAAGAUGACUUCCAGGGGUUCCCGGGUUCCCGCCCCUCCUGGGGAGGCAGCCCGAGGAACACAGCUGGGGCAGGUGCGUCUUUAAACAUCUGACGGACCCUGUUCAGCACCAGCGGGUCCCUACUGGAGAGAGGCCUUCCCCUGAGCUCGGGCGGGAAGCCGUUCCGGCACAGCUCCGACGUGACCAAACCCAGCGCGUUCACACUGGAGACAAGCCCUUUCAACGCCGUGUGUGCGGCAAAGCCUUUAACUGUGGUUCACAUCCCCUAAAACACGAGCAAACCCACACUGGAGAGAAACUGGAGGGGUGUGAGGAAUGUGGGGGGACCUUCACCCCAGCUCGUGUCUCAUUCGCCAUCGAAAAUGUCACCCGCGGAAGAAGCACUGACGGGGGUGAGUCAUCCGCCAGAUGCGGGCGGGCUUUGUGGGCUCGAGACCCAUCCUGGCAGGGCUGCCCUGGCGCCCCCUCGAUCAGGCCUUGUCCGCUCAGGCCGGGGGUCCCACCCUCACCAGGAACACCCAGGUCUGGCUGGAGACCUCCAUCGUGUCACUACGAUGACAAGGACGCUUCUCACAGCUGCGGCACCAGAGGCAGGCUUCGGGCCCUGGCACAGCCCCCACCUCCCGCUGCUGCCUCCGCCUGUGGCGCCCACGCUGGCUCCCCAACCACUGCUCCUUUGGAGACUGGUCUGCAGCCUCUCAGCCCUCAGCGUCCUGAGUCCAUCUCCAUGUGGCCUGGCCCCGAGCUGGACGGCAGUGCUUUGCAAUGAGCUCCAGGGACCCCGCUGUCCCCCGGCUGGCUGUGGUGGCAGUGCUGGGCCUCGUCCUCUGCCUUCCCUCCUCGGCUGGGGCACCGCUUGAACGCGGCCCCCCUCCCCAGGAACUGGACCCCCUGUGGUCCUCCCAGCUCAGCCCCCAUCCCAGGUGAACCACCGUGACACCAAAUGCUACCACCACGCAAGAUCCCUGCCCUGGCCACGCGGGGCCCUGGGACGCCCAUGACAGCUGGGAUCCCUUCAGACGCCAGGCGGUGGGUCCGUCCCCAAGGCCAGCUCUCCGUUCAGGUUUGUCCCACUUCUGCGGGCCUCACCCCCAUCCUGCCCCCGUCACGUCCACAUGCCGGGCCUGCCCGUGGUUCCCUCCGGGAGGGGUCUGGACGGCCUCUGUGCUCUCCUGGGGGGGGGGUGUGCUCUGUCCCAGCGUUUCCGGGUGGUGUGGGAGGGGCAAGGCCACUGCCACCCAGGAGGGAAAGUAGCUUUUUAAUAGGAAAAUGCUGAUAUUUAGGUUUUCAGCAGUUCGGACCCAGAAAACAGAGCAGCCUUCGUCGCGGGGGCUCCUCUGUGAGGAGAGGGGUCGGGGCUCCCGGGACAAGUGUCUCCCCAGUCUGACAGGCGCUGACCUCUUCUCCGUAAAAGCUGCGACGGCAGAGCAGCUCUGCCCGCGCUGGCGCCUCCGCCCAGGCUCGGCAGGCCCCCUCCCACGCGGCAGCCGGCCCAGGUGACGGGCUAACCUGCCGCCCGCGGUCCUGCUCUCACCGACCAGGAGAUGGCGGGGCGCUGAGGCAGAAUCUCCGAGCAGGUGCUGGGCUGGCCUGGGGGGGACACGCCUUUGGUCCCGGGUGGGGCAGGUGCUGUGAGGGACGCGACUGGGACGUCUGGCAAACUUGAGUCCAGACUGUCCCCGGGGGGGGGGACGACACACAGGGUCACUGCUCCCCAGUCCGAGGGCCUGUGACCGUCCCAGACAGCAUCCUCGUCACGAAAAUGUACGCGAAGGUCACGGCCUUCAGGCCACGGCGUCCUGAUGGAAGUUUGCGCAGAGGCUGACAAGGGAGCGACGACAGCAGGACCCACACGGACCCUGAGCGGUGGCGACGCAGACCGGCUCAGCGUCGGGCGUCCCUGAAUCUAGACCGAGGGCUGGCAGGCCUUUGCUGUGAGGGGCCCGAGGCGGGUGGUUCCCGGCUUGUGGGCACGAGGUCCCGUCCCGACGCAGCUCAGCGGUGCCAGGCAGAGGCCGGCGUGCGUAUCCGCGGAGCUUUGCUUCCAGAAGCAGGAAGGUGGGGCUGGGGCGAGCGAGGCCCUAUGUGCUGGGAGUCCCGAGGUCCUGCAGACCCAGCGUCGGCAGGAGGAGGCCUGGGCGCGGGGAGGGGCGGGGAGACGCCCGGAGCCGGCGGCCCCGCCGUUGGCCUUGCUGCGCCGGGGAGAGGCCGUGGAGGCGGCCGUCAGCCGUGCCGCUCCCACGGGCCAGGGGCUCUGCAUCCGCUCCACCCGGUUCCCUCGGAUGGCUGCUGACUUGCCCUGACGGAGGUAUUUUGUGUGGAGAGCAUCGUGUGACGUGCACCCGAGCUUACGGUGCUUCACGCGCAGAGAGAAGAGCCGCCGUUGUCUAUGUAACCCCGUUUCCAUGUCAUUUCCCACGGAAAAGCCCUCUUUCUGUGGUUGCCUGACAAUCCGUGGAUUAGAAACAUUGAUUUAGGAGUUCCCGUCGUGGCUCAGUGGUUAGUGAACCCGACUGGCAUCCGUGAGGACAUGGGUUCGAUCCCCGGCCUCUCUCAGUGGGUUAAGGAUCUGGCGUUGCCGGGAGCUGGGGUGUAGGUUGCAGACGCCGCUUGGAUCCUGCGUUGUUAUGGCUGGGGUGUAGGCCGGCAGCUGCAGUUCGGAUUGGACCCCCAGCCUGGGAACCUCCAUGUGCCAAGGGUGCGGCCCUAAAAGGCAAAAAAAAAAAAAAAUUUGCUCUAACCAUCUCCUGACAAGAGCCUGUAGGCCGUUUCCCGUUUAGGUCGUUAUAAACAAUGCAGCAUCUCCUCCACAUUUAGGGCCAACGGGGUGGGUCUCCAGACGUGAACUGCAGGGAGAGAGCAUUCUGGCAAAUUCUGCUGCCUAAGUGCCCCAGCAGUGCACAGACAGCAGGUGAGGUCUCAUCUCGCCGGGCUGGUAGAGGAGAAGCAGCUUCUGAUGUGACACCUUCGAUUCCUAAAGAGGAAGCGGACGGCCAGGUGCUCAGUCUCUUGGGCCAGAGACGAGGGACCCCGGGCCAGUCCUGCUCCUCGUGCUUCGCGUUCCCCCGGGGGGACGCUGACAGCGCUCGCCUGUGACUGUGACGUCCUCAGCGUGGCGCUGGCCCCAGGGGUCCGCCACUGUCCUCUGGUCAUGUGUCAGUGUCCUCAGCGAGGGGACGUUUGCCUCCCGGCGUGAGAGGGCGGCGCCGGCUGGCGGCCUCCGUGCUUCUCUGAGGAAAGCGAAAUCAACCCGGAAGACAACGGAAAAGUGAUUUUUUUAACAGGAGACAUGAGAAAAAUCACACGGCCAAACUAAAACCACUUCAUGAGCUUCUUCUUUUGCUCUUUAAUGGCCACACCCACUGCACAUGGAGCUCCCGGGCCGGCAGUGGCAUCCAGGCCACGGCUGCUGACCUGCGCUCGUGGCGUUUUUGCCUCGUGGCAUUUUGGUCAAGAUGGGAGGGCUCACUUCCUGCUUCUUCCGAGUUAACCAUCAUGACGCCACGCCAUCGCCAAGCUCUGAAGCCGAGUCUUUCAGAUUCAUCGGAUUUGAUGGGUUGUUUUGGGGGGUUUGUUUGUGUUUGUUUUGCUCUUGCUAUUCAAGUGAAACUCAAAUUCCAGGAACAAGAAAACCUGUUACCUGAGUCAAAGGAGAAAACAUAAUAAAAGUUAUGAAA